GUCUUAAACAAGAAUAAAUUCGUUUCUUGUGAGCUCGUAGUGCGAGUGCAGGAGAAGCCGCGCCGUCUCGCGCUGUCAAAAAGAGCUGACGCAAAUCCUUCAUUUUCCACACUUCAACAGCUGAAAAAAACACCCACUUUUAGCUCUUGGUUUGUUCUAAUGGGUGGAUUGUGUGCAAUCGCUGUAAUAUUUUAUUUUUAUAAGGUCUUAAACAAGAAUAAAUUCGUUUCUUGCGAGCUCGUUGUGUCAUUGCACGAGAAGCCGCGCCGUCUCGCGCUGUCAAAAGAGCUGACGCAAAUCGUUCAUUUUCAAACUUCAACAGCUGAAAAACACCCACUUUUAGCUCUUGGUUUGUUCUAAUGGGUGGAUUGUGUGCAAUCGCUGUAAUAUUUUAUUUUUAUAAGGUCUUAAACAAGAAUAAAUUCGUUUCUUGUGAGCUCGUAGUGCGAGUGCAGGAGAAGCCGCGCCGUCUCGCGCUGUCAAAAGAGCUGACGCAAAUCGUUCAUUUUCAAACUUCAACAGCUGAAAAACACCCACUUUUAGCUCUUGGUUUGUUCUAAUGGGUGGAUUGUGUGCAAUCGCUGUAAUAUUUUAUUUUUAUAAGGUCUUAAACAAGAAUAAAUUCGUUUCUUGCGAGCUCGUUGUGUCAUUGCACGAGAAGCCGCGCCGUCUCGCGCUGUCAAAAGAGCUGACGCAAAUCCUUCAUUUUCAAACUUCAACAGCUGAAAAACACCCACUUUUAGCUCUUGGUUUGUUCUAAUGGGUGGAUUGUGUGCAAUCGCUGUAAUAUUUUAUUUUUAUAAGGUCUUAAACAAGAAUAAAUUCGUUUCUUGUGAGCUCGUAGUGCGAGUGCAGGAGAAGCCGCGCGGGCUCGCGCUGUCAAAAGAGCUGACGCAAAUCGUUC
ensembl:lncRNA